CAAAGCAUGAAGUGAAGAAGAACAAAACCUAGGUGGAAAAAUUGAAGAAAAAGUGUGAGAUUUUAAGGGAUUAAGCCAAUAAAGGUUCAGAUUAAGCUGUAGAUAGCUGAGUUCAUCGAGGACUACCCUUGGAUUUUCAUUCCUUCAAACUAUAGAUCAGUGAUAGCUUUUGAUAGCAGCUAGUGUCGCAGAUAUUAGUGUCCGGUCUUCAUUCAUUGGUAGCUGCUUAGCAGCCACUUGAUGCUUAGAGGGUCGGUCACGUUUCAUUGACGAGUCUAUCUUUACUUUAUGUUAUGUUACAAACUAUGAACAUGUUUAUGCUGAUAUUGCUAAUGUUUAGGCAUCUUAUAUUAAUAAUGUUAUGUAUGAGAUCAUGAUGAUGGCUCGAGAGCCUAUAUGGACACUCGAGGGUGCUGAUGAUGUUAAUGUUUAUAUUAUUGUGCACUAUGACAGUGGCAUUUGAUAAUACACAUAUAGAUGUAUUACGUUGAACUUACACAAUUAAGUUGAGAAGUUCCUUUAUUGUGUAAUAAGUUGUAAGAAUAUAUGUAUUACGAUUAUGUAU